AGGCGCCCCGACAACCGGCCACCCGGCGGGGGCCGCAGGGACACAAUGCCGCCCCCCCAGCCAACCUGAUCUGUCACAAUGAGGCGGAAAUGCCACUUGUGUUACCAAACACACAAUGAAAACACUUGCAAGGAGCAUGAAGAACACGCUAACACUGAACUCACCGCAUGGUACAUGGCUGGAGCUGGAAUCGGAGCUCCUGACAUUCCUCACUAGGCCACGCCCUUUAAAGGCACAAGUCAACACUCGGAUACUACGAGACUGGGACCAGGCCAUCUGUACAGCAUGACCCAUUUCGAGUGACGGAGAGAAGAGAGGGCAGCUUCCCAAGGAUGACACGCUACUGACCUGCUUCAUUUAUUUACUCUGGAGAGUUAAACUACGACUGACUGCAUGCAACCACCUGGAAGAUUACAUGAGCACAGAAGAGGAGGGAGGGAGCAGCGAUGAAGAGCAUACCGGUUUUAAGGCGACAACAUUUGCGGGCAUGACGAAUGGAAGAGAGUCAGCGCGAGAAGAUGCGCCAGCAGCGUUCUACAUACAGCUCUGCUGGAUGCGACCACUUUGCAUUCCGAUGACGGCGGUAGAAAUAAGUUGACGAAAGUGCCAAAGUCUUUUAAACAGCUUUACAGUGACGAGUCAAAGAGGGCACACUCCAGCAGACCACCAGCAAUACUGAAGGUUACGCCUCUGUGUAUUUUCAAAAGAUCUUUCUCUGCC